CCAAUAGCGUAUAUUAAAGUUGUUGCAGUUAAAAAGCUCGUAGUUGAAUUUCGGGAUCAAGGGAUCGGUCAUGCCUUGGUAUGUACUGGUCUUAUUGGUUCUCACCUUCUAAAGAACCAUGAUGUCAUUCAUUUGAUGUUAUGGGGAAUUAGGACUGUUACCUUGAAAAAAUUAGAGUGUUUAAAGCAAGCUUACGCUUGAAUACAUUAGCAUGGAAUAAUGAAAUAGGACAUCAGAUUCUAUUUUGUUGGUUUCUAGGAUCGAUGUAAUGAUUAAUAGGGAUAGUUGGGGGCAUUAGUAUUCAAUUGUCAGAGGUGAAAUUCUUGGAUUUAUUGAAGACUAACUACUGCGAAAGCAUUUGCCAAGGAUGUUUUCAUUAAUCAAGAACGAAAGUUAGGGGAUCGAAGACGAACAGAUACCGUCGUAGUCUUAACCAUAAACUAUGCCGACUAGGGAUCGGAUGAUGUUAAUUUUUUAAUGACUCAUUCGGCACCUUACG
rnacentral:rRNA from 1 species